AACGUAGGACGCGAGCGUUAUCCGGAGUUACUGGGCGUAAAGCGCGCGCAGGCGGUCCUUUAAGUCUGAUGUGAAAGCCCACGGCUCAACCGUGGAGGGUCAUUGGAAACUGGGGGACUUGAGUACAGAAGAGAAGAGUGGAAUUCCACGUGUAGCGGUGAAAUGCGUAGAGAUGUGGAGGAACACCAGUGGCGAAGGCGACUCUUUGGUCUGUAACUGACGCUGAGGCGCGAAAGCGUGGGGAGCAAACAGG
rnacentral:rRNA from 1 species